rnacentral:lncRNA from 1 species
GGGGGACUGCGUUUCGGUUUCGGUUUCUCUUUGCUUCUUGCUGUACAGACUACCACCGGCUGGCUGGUUCGCUCUAUAAAAAAUACAUCAAGAACACACUGAAGAAAUGGUUCAGUGCUUACGAGCUUGCUGGUCCUCCAGAGAACCCAAGUUAUAGUAUCAGCACGGCAAUCAGUGGCUCACAAUUGCCUCUAACUCCAGCUCCAGAGGAUGGAUCUUCUGGCCUCUGAAGGUCCUGGACGUCACAAAUACAUUGCAAUCAUAUACUUGCCAAUGACAUGGACAUAGAAAUGAAACUGUCUGGAAAGAAAAGGGAACUGAUGGGAGGGAGAGGGGCAGAAAGGGGCAGGUAGUGGGGGAUAUGGAGGAUAUGCUCAAAGCGCUUUAUGUAAUGGAGUAAAAAUGGCCUUGUGAAACC